UGUUGUUCUUAGGUUUAAACUUCAUUUGAUGGUGUGAAUGAUGAUACAAGAGAAGCAAGAUUGAUGCUUCUUGACUUGGUGGCUAAGGGAUUGAUUACUAAAUCUACUACAAAACUUUGAACAGAUCAUGAGGUACAUAUGAUAACUUACUUUUUAUUUUCCAAAGGUCUUUGAGUAAAUUGCUAGCCCGUAUGUAUUAUUAACCAUUAUUUCCAGUUUUAAUUUGCCAUCAGCUAGAAAAUCCUAAUGACUUGCCUGACGCCAUUAUUCAAGUUGUAGGAAAAUUUUUAAAUUUUGGUGUCUAUGUUCAAAAAGAGCACAUUGUUUAUGGACCUGAGAUUUACAUGGUUGGUAAGGUAUUUAAAGAGAGAAAUGAAUGCUUAACCGAUGAAGUCACUCAAACAGAAUCCUUCUUAGAAAAGGGAUUGACAUUUACAAGUGGUGAAGAGAGUGCUUUACAUUUACUGAUGAUUAAGAUAACAAUGAGGUAAUGUCUACGCCAUUCAGUAGGUGCACCUGACAUAUCUUCAUCGACUAGGAAAGUUUUCUUCAAAACAAGUUAUGUUUGGAGACGAAGAAGAAGAUGGAGUUUAAGUUUUCUUUUUUUGUUUUUUUGAACUUUUAGGUAUUAUUUGUUUUUGGGGUUACAGUUUUUGUUUUGUAAUUUUCUAAAUUUAAUAAUAUUGAAUUUAUGUUUAAUUUAAUUUUUAUUAGAUAUUGGUUUUAUUAUUUAAUAUGGACCUUUCGCAGACAUCUUUAAACAUAACUUUUAAAAAAUCAGAAAUCCCAACAUAUCGGCAGUGAGCUUUCUCAUACUAAUAUAUGAAUCUAUUAUGGCCCAAAUAACAUAUACGCGUUGUAAGUGUCUUUAUUGUUCAACUGAAAUACCAUAAGUCUAUAAAACUUUUUAUAUAUAACAAUUUUUAUUGAUACUAUUUCUACGAACCCUAAUAUCAAUCUUCUUCUUUCGGUCCUCCAAAUCCCAUAUGUGAAAACAAGUGACGAUGGUAGACAACAUAAACUUCAGAACAAGUGAGGAGGCUUAUGCAAUGGGGAAAAUGGAAAGUAAAGAGCAUCAUCGGGCGAUUCUCGCUAUGUAUAAGGAUCAAACGAAUGCCAUGGCUGCCAAGCAUGAUGAGGAGAUUGAAGUGAAAUGUAUUGAAGCCAAGCUGGAUAAUUUACGAACUCAUUCUGUUGUCAGCCCUGAAGUCUAAGAAAUAAAAGCUUGAAAUCUUAAACUUGCACAUGCGAAUGUGGAUGAUGUGAAGGUUCUUAAUAUCGAUAGGUUGAAGAUGGGUGAGCCAAAUAUGUAUGAUUAAUCUCUUGGCUUUCUAAAUCUAAAAUUUCUUAGUAAUUAUAAAAUUGUAUGUACUUUUUCCCAGCAUUAUUUGGAACCAA